UACGGGGGGGGCAAGCGUUGUUCGGAAUUACUGGGCGUAAAGGGCUCGUAGGUGGCCAACUAAGUCAGACGUGAAAUCCCUCGGCUUAACCGGGGAACUGCGUCUGAUACUGGAUGGCUUGAGUUCGGGAGAGGGAUGCGGAAUUCCAGGUGUAGCGGUGAAAUGCGUAGAUAUCUGGAGGAACACCGGUGGCGAAGGCGGCGUUCUGGACUGCAACUGACACUGAUGAACGAAGGCCAGGGGAGCAAACGGG
rnacentral:rRNA from 1 species